CCUACGGGAGGCAGCAGUGAGGAAUAUUGGUCAAUGGACGGAAGUCUGAACCAGCCAUGCCGCGUGCAGGAAGACGGCUCUAUGAGUUGUAAACUGCUUUUGUACAAGGGUAAACCUGCAUACGUGUAUUCAGCUGAAUGUACUGUACGAAUAAGGAUCGGCUAACUUCGUUCCAGCAGCCGCGGUAAUACGGAGGAUGCAAGCGUUAUGCGGAUUUAUUGGGCUUAAAGGGUGCGUAGGCGGAAUGAUAAGUUAGGGGUGAAAUGCCCGAGCUUAACUCGGGAACUGCCUCUAAUACUGUUGAUCUAGAGAGUAGAUGCGGUAGGCGGAAUGUAAGGUGUAGCGGUGAAAUGCUUAGAGAUCAUACAGAACACCGAUUGCGAAGGCAGCUUACC
rnacentral:rRNA from 1 species